AAGAGCAGAAAAGGCAGUGGACAAGAGCUGCUGCUGAAGCCUUGAGUUAUCCACCUUGGUGAUGAACCCUCUGGAGAUUAUUUUUCCUAUGGAGCACACUGUUUUCAGAUGUGACCUUAUCUACAGAGACUAAAAAGUGCGAAGACAGAUCUUGGCAAGAUGGUUUCUCAAUUUCAUGCGGAAAACAAACAGCCCCUCAGCAAAAACAGACAUUUCAAGAGUUUUCAGACAUCACCUGUGCCUCCAAGGACUGAGAUGGGACAGAAGGAUGUUGUGGACUCCACUUCUGCAAAGCUCAAGAAAGAACUGGAGUGGCAGGUGGAGGAGAUUUCUGAAUUCCAUGAAUAUAAACUUCAUAGGCAUCAGCAGGUUCCUUGUUUGGAGGACAUAAGACAUUUGAAGGUAUGUUUGCAAAAGCUGAUGAAAGGGAUAGAAGAAAAGGAAAGGGACAUUAUAAAGGAAAAAAGAGAAAUAUUGGAAGAAAGAGAACUAGUCUUACAACAGGACAACAUCUUAAAGGACAUGCAGAUAAAAAUAAGCCACUUAGUAGAACAGCUCAAGAACUCUGAACUAAUUGGGUUAAAACUUUCAAAGCAAUUGCGGAAUCAGAUAGAAGCCUUGGGAGCAGGAAGCAGCCAACAAGAAGAGAAGGUGGACAACUGCACAAGCUCUCCCACUCAGAAGACAACCAUGGUGAAACAGACCCAGACAUCAAUGACUGGCUACCUAAAAAAAUUAUCUUCAUGUCUUAGGAACAGUUUAUGGCAGAUUGGCAGGCUCUUGCUACAUUCUGGCUGCUCUUUUAUAGUAAUGCUUUUAUUUUACAAAUACUUAUCUGAUUUUACCUGGAUAUGUUGUCUACUGAAGAGCAUCUCCCAGAAGUACUUCAAAACUUGUGCAUGGCCACAUUAACCCUAGAAAAUUUUAAAGACUCCACACUGGGCUUUUGUAUGGUUGCUGUGUUGCUUCUAUGAAGACCCCACUUUACAAUAAAGCUGUCAUUAAUGCUGAAACCA
ensembl:lncRNA